rnacentral:miRNA from 1 species
UGGCAGAUUGUCUUCGGAAUUU